ACUCUUGGCAAUGGAUAUCUUAGCUCUCAUAUCAAUGAAAAACAUAAUGAAAUGAGAUACUUGGUGUGAAUUGCAAAAUCUCAUAAGCCAUUGAGUCUUUGAAUGUAAGUUGAGCCUCAUGCCAUUGGGUUGAAGGCAUGCCUACCUUAUGUGUCAUGCCUCAUCACCCCUUCCAACCCCUUGCCCAAUAGACUCCAAGUAAAGGGGCAGAAGAUGGCCUUCUGUGAUCUCAUCAGUCAUGGUUAGCCUAAAAUGAGUCCUUGACAAUGAUAGCACCAUGGUCAUUGGUAAUAAAGCUCUUCAUGAUGCACAUUCAUAGUCCAUUCAUAACCCAUUUGUCCUCACCUACUAAGUUUAAGCUUAUCAAUAUGUGGAGGAAAAGAAACUUACUAGGAUUCCCCUAGUAAUAGCAAGUGAACCAGGAAAAGUUUAGCUAGAGAAUUGAGCAUCGUUGGCAUCUAAAUUAUAGUUUAGAUAAGCAUCUUUAAUGGUGCACUAGGACCAACUCCUUUGGAAAAAGACAUUGGAAAGGGUGGGAGCCGCAUUAUGCCUAGGCCCUAUCACAUCAUAAAGCACUAUCUAUGAGUCAGGUUGUUUAGGAAUGCAGCUCUAAUCAAGCUAUAAAUUUUGUCCAAGGCUGAAUACGGGUGAGAGAUCGAUAGCAAAUAAGUACCAUAAAGGAGAGAUGAAAAGGACUUUGAGAAGAGAAUCAAAAAGUGCUUGAAAUUGUUAGGAGGGAAGUGGAUGGGAGCCAACAAUAUGUGCCUAUUGCAUGUGGAAUAGCAAGAGCUGGUCUGCCAAUCGACUAGGGGUAUGGAUCGAUGCAAGCCACCAUGGCGGCCCAAGCUCAAGCUUUUGAUAUGCCCUCAAAGAUGUCAUUGCCAUGAUCGUGAAAUGUAGCAUGCAUCAUCUUGGCAUGCCUUCGCACUAGCAUGCUCCCGGCAUCAGCUUGUAGGCUCCCCAUUCGACCUAUCUUGACACAUAAACCAAAGAGUUUGACAUGUAUUCAAGUUAAUGGGAUAGAAAACACAUAAGGUGUAAGGAAGCUGAUUGGCAGGAUCCCUCAUGGUUGCACCUCCAAGCUAUUUUAAUCUUCUAAGAAGGGUUUGAGUGUAAGCAUGCCUAUUAGGAUAUGAAAGAUGUUGAACUAUGCCUAAGUAGGGUAAAGCUAAAGGAAACUCUAGUAGAGGCCCAUAAUAAUAGUAAUGUUCAAAUCAUUCAUCUGAAUUGCGUGUAAGGGUAAAAGACUAAUCGAACCAUCUAGUAGCUAGUUCCCUCUGAUGUUUACUUUAGAAUAGUUACAACACUUAGUGAGUACUAUCAGGUAAAGCCAAUGAUUAGAGGCAUCAAAGGUGCAAUGCCCUUGACUUAUUCUCAAACUUUAAAUAGGUAGGAUGGCAUGGCUGCUUCAUUGAGAAACAUCACAAAAUUGAGAGCUUUAAGUGGGCCAUUUUUGGUAAGCAAAAUUACUGGUGUGGUAUGAACCAAAAUCCAGGUUACGGUGCCUAACUAUGUGCUAACCUAGAAACCCAUAAAAGGGUGUUGGUCAAUUAAGAUAGUAGGCCAGUGGCAUGGAAGUCAAAAUUCACUAAGAAGUGUGUAACAACUCACUUGCCAAAUCAACUAGCCUUAAAAAUGGAUGGUGCUUAAGCAUGUGAAUUAUACUCGAUAGUCAGAGCAAGGGCUAGGGCCUGAUGAAUAGGAGGCAUGAUAGUCAUUGCAAAACUUAAGAGACAAGCCUAGGUAGAGUGACCGUUAAUGCGGAUCUUGGUGGUAGUAGCAGAUAUUCAAAUAAGAAGUUUAAAGGUCGAAGAGGGGAAAUGUUCCAUGGGAAUGGCACUCGCAUAUGGGUUAGUUGAUCUUAAGAGAUGGGAAAGCUUGUCUGAUCACACAUCUAGCGUGAGCUUCAAAAGGGAAUUGGGUUAAAAUUCUUUAAUUGGGAUGCAACAAAAAAUGGCAACAUUAAGGAGUUCAAAGACUUUGGCAGGGGCUUUAGGAAAAGUUAUCUUUUAUGUUUAAUGGCCUACCCACCCAAGAAACAACUUAAAUAAAGGUAGGAUCUAGUGUUUGAAAGAGCACACAUCAUGUGGUGUAAGGUACGCCUUCAGUGGCCCUGGAAAAUUUAGAGAAUCGAGUGCCAUCUAUGCCCAAUUGUAUUCAUAAUGGCAUUAGGUCUACAAGGUGAAUAGCUUUUUGUUGAUGGAACAAUGAAGGUAAGGGAUGUCAGCAAAAUGGAUCUAUAAACCCAAGAAAAGGAUUGUAUCUAAUGGCUAGUUAUGGGGGUCCCAAUCUUAAACCCAUCAGUUAUUGGUACACUACUUGAGUUGCUUCCAUAGUGAGAAUGGGUCACCAUGUGCCGAUCGAUGGAUAGAUUAGGAAUGGCUUCCUCAGGGGCUAUACCUAGGUGAUGGACAAUUGAUUCAAAACUAGUGCAGACAAGGGGAAUCUUACUGUUUCAUUAAAAUAAAGCAUUGCGAUGGUCCCUAUGGAUACUCACGCAAUGUGAUUUUUUGUCCAGUGCUUUGAAUGUCAAAGUAAAGAAAUUCAACCAAGUGUGGGUAAACAACAAGAGUAACUAUAACUCUUUUAAGGUAGCCAAAUGCCUCAUCAUCUAAUUGGUGAUGUGCAUUAAUGGAUUAACAAGAUUUCCAUUGUCUUUUUCUACUAUCCAGUGAAACUAUAGCUAAGGGAAUGGGCUUGGCAGAAUCAGUGGGGAAAGAAGACCUUAUUGAGCUUGGCUCUAGUCUAAUUUUGUGAAAUGACUUGAGAGGUGUCGGAUUGUGAAAUACCACUACUAUUAACAUUAUUUUACUUAUUCCAUGAAUUAGAGGCAGGGCAUGACCCUUUCUUUUGGACCAAGGCUGGCCUAUAUCAGUCGAUCCAACCAAAAGACAUUAUCAGGAGAGAAGUUUUGCUAGGGCAACACAUUUAUUAAAAGGUAAUAUAGGUGUCCAAUGAGAACAAAAAUCUUGUAUAGAAUAAAAGGGUAAAUGCUCAUUUGAUUUUGAUUUCUAGUAUGAAUACAAACUAUGAAGGCAUGGCCUAUCAAUCCUUUAAACCUUUUAAACUUGAAGCUAGAGGUGUCAAAAAAGUUACCACAAGGAUAACUACUUGUGGCAACCAAGCAUUCAUAGCGACAUUGCUUUUUGAUCUUUCAAUGUUAGCUCUUCCUAUCAUUAUGAAGUAGAAUUCACCAAGUGUUGUAUUGUUUACCCACCAAUAGGGAACGUGAGCUAGGUUUAGAUCGUCAUGAGACAUGUUAGUUUUACCUUACUGAUGGUAGUGUUGCAAUAGUAAUUCAACCUAGUAUGAGAGGAACCAUUGAUUCGCACAAUUGGUCAUCACAUUUGGUUGAAAAAUGCCAUUGUCACAAUCUGUGGGAAAGACCAGGCCCAUGGGUUCUUAUCAAGACAAGGAGCGAUUUU
rnacentral:rRNA from 1 species